CGCCUCCUCCGUGUGACCGCGCCCAUCCCCGGUAGUGCAGGUCAUCCCUCCGCCUCGUGCAGCCUCCUUUGCGCGACCGGAACCCCGCCGCCGCCUCCCUCCGUGGCCGCCCAACCGCCGCUGCCGGCCCCUUUGAUCCGGUGUAGCAGGACCCGCCGGCCCCCUCCGCCUGUUGCUGCCUCCUCUGUGCGACCGCAACCCCGGCGCCUCCUCCCUCCAUGGCCGCCCAACAUGCCGCUGCUGGCCCCAUUGAUCUCCUCCUCUCUCGUUCUUCUUCUUUUGGCCGGAGAGUGCACACUUGAGCUGACUCAGUUGAGUAAGUGUUAGUGCAUUGACCAUUGGAAGGAGGUGUUGGUGACUGGUGUUGCGACGCCUAGGCUCGCCCGCACGCGCCGACGCGGUGCGGUGAGGCUCUGUAUCUCCGUCUUCCAUGCUGGCUACAACGGCGGCGAAUAGGAUUUCUGGGACAGCGGCUGGUGAGCCGUGCCUUGCCUCGAUCAUCGAUUCGCUUGGGUGUAUUGUUCUGUUCCUCUAGCUCCUGGUGCAUUGCAGGGUGCCAUAGGAACAACCAGAGAUGCAUUGAUCAGCAAGGAAUACAAGGGUAGUGUAGAAGAGAUCUCAGAGGACCAAGGGGAGAGAGAGGAAUAAGAAGACAUGGCUGAUUUAAGCACAGAGGCACUAUCGGAGUACUAUGAGAUUGUCAGCAAGGUGUUUGGUAGCGAAGAUGAAGUUUUCCGGUUCUAUAACAAGUGUGUUUCAAUGACGCGGUUGGGGUGAUGAUAACUGGUUCAUCAGAGUUUAGCACUGCAGACCAGGAUCUUGUGUUCUAGAAUGUUUGAUUCAGUUUAUUAUAGUAUCUGAAUAUUUUAAGUUUAUACUGACUAGUUGGUCAUAUUCGUUUGUGCUAUCU